rnacentral:tRNA from 1 species
GCCUCUGUAGCUCAGUUGGUAGAGCAGAGGACUGAAAAUCCUCGUGUCGUUGGUUCGAUUCCGACCGGAGGCACCU